GAGAAUUUUCGUUUUUUUAAAAGGAGGGGUGGAAAAAUUUCUAGUGGGGUGCAAGUGGCACUACUGAGCGAGCUUCGGCAGGGGUUAGGCGUUAGUUUUUUAAAUCUCAUUGCAUGUCUAAUUCUUCAGUGGUUUCUGAAUAUGAUAAAUCCAUAUGAUGCGCAAUGCUCUUUUCUGAAUCGGCUCUAUUUGGUCUGAAAGAUAUUCCGGAAGGCCGUAAUGAAAUACCUGACACGCGUAUUGAAGAAUAUAUCUUAUAGAGGCGAUGUAAAAACAUUUUAAAUCAUUGCCACUGAGACCCGAUCUCUUAAGUUGUUUCAGCAGAUACAAUCGUUUCGCUGCUUUAGUCGUUAUCUUAUCCACAUGGCCGUUCCAAUUCAGGUCAGGUCUUGGGUGAUCAAUAAACCAAG